CUGAAGGACCCCCAAACAAUGGUGAAAGUGGUGGGAAAUUCAACUGAGAUGAAAUAACAUUGACAUUACUGAGGAAGUUUGGAAUGAACCGCCACAUCCUCACACGGUUCUACACCUGCACUGUGGAGAGCAUCCUGACUGGCUGCAUCUCCGCCUGGUACGGCAAUAGCACAGCCCACAACCGCAAAGCACUGCAAAGGGUGGUGCGAACUGCCAGACACAUCAUCGGAGGUGAGCUUCCCUCCCUCCAGGAAAUAUAUACAAGGCGGUGUGUGAAAAAAGCUCGGAGGAUCAUCAGAGACUCCAGCCACCCGAGCCAUGGGCUGUUCUCACUGCUACCAUCAGGUAGGCGGUAUCGCAGCUUCAGCACCCGCACCAGCCGACUCCAUGAUAGCUUCUUCCCCCAAGCAAUCAGACUUCUGAACUCUUGAUCUCCCACGAUCAAAAUACAUCAGCACUGCACUUUAUUACCCUUACUCUUAUAUCUCAUACCGGACUGUCAUAAAUUAUAUUAUUAUUAUUAUAUUAUGUUCUCUCUUAACAACUGACUAUCAACCGACAGCCUGAAUGUCAAUACAGUACAAUACUGUACAUUCUAUAUAUAUAUAUACACACACACUUUUUUUUUUUUUGUUUAUAUAUAUAUUUUUUUUUAAUUUUUAUUGAAUGUGUAUCUAUAUAGUAAAAAAAAAAAAAAACAGCGUAUUGUAUACUGUACAGUGUAUGUUAUUAUUUGUAUACUGUUGAGUGUAAUUAUGUGUAUAUCAGAUGUUUAAAUUGUGUUGUGUUAAUUUGAUGUUAUUGUAAAUUGGUAUAUGUCUCAUCACUGUCACGACUGCUAUGUUGAUCGGAACUGCACCCAAGAAUUUCACACACCAUUGCACUUGUGUAUAUGGCUGUGUGACAAUAAAGUGAUUUGAUUUGAUUUGAUUUGACAUUAACCUGACUUUUAGUAUAAAAAGAAUAUCGUUUAAAUUAUUUGAAAGUUACGAAGCAAGGUAGCUUGCAAUUCAUCAGUGUUAGCAGGCAAGAUCAAGUUAGCUAAAAUUACACAGAUCAAUCCUCAUGGCACUAUAUUUCACAUGCUUUGCAGUUAUAAUAAGUCCAAUAAGAAGAAAGCCAAUUCAGGGUCAGUUUUGAUCCCUAAAACCGAACGAAGGUCCAUCCAGGAAUCAAAUGCCAUGUUCAUUCUAGUUUUCGCUUGACCACGAUCACAUUCCAGCUUAGCCAGACAGGAUUCAGUAGAUAAAUGUUAUUUUUAUUUUUUUGGCUUACUCGGAGUUUGUGUAGGAGUCAGUGUUGUACUGUGA